AUCCUUCGGUUCAUGCAAAUGAUGAUUGGUGCGUUCACGGACACUCCGUGAAAGGUGCAGCCCUCACUUGUUACGCUAUGCGCCUCAGCCCUUCUGAUC